ACGUAGGAGGCGAGCGUUAUCCGGAUUUACUGGGCGUAAAGCGCACGCGGGCGGCUUCGUGAGUCGGACGUGAAAGCUCCUGGCUUAACUGGGAGAGGUCGUUCGAUACUGCGGGGCUUGAGGUAGGGAGAGGGGUGUGGAAUUCCCGGUGUAGUGGUGGAAUGCGUAGAGAUCGGGAGGAACACCAGAGGCGCAAGCGGGUGCCUGGGCGACGACUGACACUGAGGGACGAAAGCGUGGGGAGCGAACAG
rnacentral:rRNA from 1 species